GCCGGGCAUGGUGGCCCAUGCUUGUAAUCCCAGCUACUUGGGAGGCUAAGACAGGAGAAUUGCUUGAACCCAGGAGGUGGAGGUUGCAGUGAACCAAGAUCAUGCCACUGCACUCUAGCCUGGGUGACAGAGCAAGACUCUGCCUCAA
ensembl:misc_RNA Metazoa_SRP Metazoan signal recognition particle RNA